rnacentral:lncRNA from 1 species
GCAGACUGUGAGAAUGGGCUUUUAUUAUAUUCAUGUUUUGUACCUGGAAACAACGUAAAAGGCGCUGGUGUUGGACUGACUAAAGGGACACAGCUAGCCUGAACUGCGUCAGUGAGAUGGGCCAAUAUAAUUGCUCAGCAUACCCACAGAUGUCCUCAAGUAAUGGCUCACUCAUUGUUGUACUGGUCAAUCACCAAAGGAAAUCGAUGCAUUUGGGGUCACUUUGAAGAGCAGAGCAACACAAUGUUAAACACUAAAUCACUUUUAAGAUGGAGUUGCAGAGCAUGAAGGCGAGGCCACAGCAGAAGGACGAGCGAUGAAGAACUGGGAGAGAUGCAAAGACCAUGGGAAGACCUACACCAGCAAGUGGUGAAGGCUGUGGACAAGACCGUGUUGAAGAAAUGGAAGUCGUACUUUUAAAUACAGGAUGACAUUUGUGCAAAAAAGAAAAGCUUAAUAAAACAUUUGGAAAGAGUCUCAUUCAUCUAAAUAUUUCACAUGAAGUUCUGGAUGUAAUUCAAUGUUAAACGUAUACUAGCAUUACAUAUUUAAGUAGAAAGAUUCAGAGAAAUUGAACUUGAACACCUCUAAAACUGUGAUAUUUUUCAUUCUUGACAAACCCAGUGUUGUAGCAGCAGCGUUUGAGCCACGGUCCUUCCAUUUAGCUGGCAGAGUUUUGGUACAAGUCUUCUCAUAGUUGGCUUCAAUGGAAAUGCUGUUGUUUUUUUAGUACAGAGGCUUCUUGUGGGCAGUUGAAGAUUUGUACUCACUCAUUUAUAGUCAAUGUUUGGGUUCAAAUUAAACCCAGAUUAAAAACAAGUCU